GACGAACGCUGGCGGCGUGCUUAACACAUGCAAGUCGAACGAAGUGGCGAACGGGUGAGUAACGCGUAAUCAACCUGCCCUUCAGAGGGGGACAACAGUUGGAAACGACUGCUAAUACCGCAUACUGAAGGAGGGGAUUGCGUGUGAUUGGCUAGUUGGAGGGGUAACGGCCCACCAAGGCGAUGAUCAGUAGCCGGGCCGAGAAGGUGGACGGCCAAAUUGGGACUGGGACACGGGCCAGACUCCUUCGGGAGGCAGCAAUGGGGAAUCUUCCGCAAUGGACGAAAGUCUGAAGGAGCAACGCCGCGGGAGUGAUGACGGCCUUCGGGUUGUAAAGCUCUGUUAAUCGGGACGCGGUACCGGAAUAGAAAGUCACGGCUAACUACGUGCCAGCAGCCGCGGUAAUAC
rnacentral:rRNA from 1 species